GACGAACGCUGGCGGCGCGCCUAACACAUGCAAGUCGAACGGUGAAGAGGAGCUUGCUCCUCGACACAUUGGCGGACGGGUGAGUAACACGUGAGCAACCUGGCUCUAAGAGGGGGACAACAGUUGGAAACGACUGCUAAUACCGCAUGACGUAUCGGGAUGGCAUCUUCCUGAUACCAAAGAUUUUAUCGCUUAGAGAUGGGCUCGCGUCUGAUUAGAUAGUUGGCGGGGUAACGGCCCACCAAGUCGACGAUCAGUAGCCGGACUGAGAGGUUGAACGGCCACAUUGGGACUGAGACACGGCCCAGACUCCUACGGGAGGCAGCAGUGGGGGAUAUUGGACAAUGGGGGCAACCCUGAUCCAGCGACGCCGCGUGAGGGAAGAAGGUUUUCGGAUUGUAAACCUCUGUUGACGGAGAAAAAAAUGAUGGUAUCCGUUUAGAAAGCCACGGCUAACUACGUG
rnacentral:rRNA from 1 species